GAACCAACACUCUCUUUGGUCUUCCCGCAAUCUCUUUUUCUCCCUCGCUCGCUCUUUGGUCUUCCCAUAAUCUCAAAACCCUAAAUAGAGAUUUUCAUUCCCAUAAAUCUUUUCUUUCUCUUUGUCGAAGAAGAAGAAAUCAGACUCAGAGAAGCUUCGGAUUCAUUGUAGAAGAAAACGAAGAAGGAGGAGGAGGAAUUGAGAUUUUGAUUUUGGUUUUGUUGAUUUGAUUUGGAAUAAAAAUGGUUUAGGGGAGAAGAUUGAGAGAGAGAGAGAUUAUAAGAAGGUGGAGAGAUCGGAAAUUGAUAGAGGUGGAUCAUUUGUUGUUGUUAGAAGGAUUUCACAAGGAUUUGAGAGACGUACUGCUAUGGUUAUCAUUCUCCUUCUGGUAUAUAUUCUUCUGGAAUUUGGUUUUCGUUUUGUGAAAUUGGGAUUUUGGCGAAUGGAUUUGUGGAUUUUGGUUCAGGGGAUUGUUUAUGUAUUAGCUAAUAGUAGUUCUCAACUUGUUAAAAUGUAUUUUGAGUGAAAUUGAGAUUACAGUUAAGAAAGAAAUCUUUGAUUUGGUAGUAUUGGGUGUUGGAUUGUUUGAUUCGGUAAUGAUAUAGUAGUGUGUAGGCGUACAGAUUAAGUUUUUGGAAGUUUGGCAAUUUCUUGCACCCACUAGAACUCCAGUCUUUCGAGUGAUCUUUCACUGUGAGUUUGUGCACCCAAUUAGGAUCCAUUCCAGAGAUGAAAUAGUUCCAUUUGUCUUUUGAGAAGGGAAAAUGCAACAGUAGAUGACAUCUCCUACUGUUCAAAUUUCCCACUGUGGGAACAACAUUCUGUACAGCUAACCAAGCAAAAUGAAGAAACGAGGCAGACAAGGAAGUUUGCAAGGGAAGAAUGCUAACGAUUACAUGAGUAGCGGGGUUCCUACUAGCAAUCAGAACCAGCAAGCCAUUACUAGUGGCCAGCAGAUUCUACAGUCAAUUGUAGCUCGAGGUUCCAAUGCAAGAACGGAUAGUAAGGUGUAUCGGAGUAUGUAGAAGCCCCACUUGCGAUGCCCCAAGUAAAGGAGUUAUUUCUCGUGAUGAGUGUGACGAUGAAGACUAUGUGAUUCGUAAUGGUGUACAUGGUUUUGCUGAGUAUGUAGAAGUCCCACCUUGGAUUCCCCAAGUCCCUCAUAUCCCGGUAGUCGGCCCAAAGUGGAUUAUGCAGGUCCCAAAGUGGAUUAUGCAGGUCUGUUCGAUUUGUGCAGCAAAUUAAUUGGGUACCUCUUUAAAGAGGUCGCAUAUUAUUAAUUGGGUACCUUGUUAACACUGUCGCA